rnacentral:rRNA from 1 species
GACGGAGGAGGCAAGCGUUAUCCGGAAUUAUUGGGCGUAAAGGGUACGUAGGCGGCUGGUCAAGUCUGGGGUCAAAGGCCACAGCUCAACUGUGGAAAGGCCCUGGAACCUGACCGGCUAGAGUGAGGUAGGGGUUGCGGGAAUUCCCGGUGUAGCGGUGAAAUGCGUAGAGAUCGGGAAGAACACCUGAGGCGGAAGCGCGCAACUGGGCAUCAACUGACGCUGAGGUACGAAAGCUCGGGGAGCGAAUGGG